AAGGCCCUAAGACAACAGGCUUCAUGCCUCACAUUUAUAAAGAAUAUCAAGUCCUCCAGACAGCUAAGUUUGCUAAGUUUGUGAUGAUACGAAAAAUUAGGGAAAGAUUUUCCUAUUUUGUGAAUCACUGAGGGAAGCUAUGUGGUUAAGUACAUAAGGAAAAAAACUAGACUAUUUCUAGUUUCUGGAAGCGGCAUUAUCUGUAACCUUGUUUUGAUCGUCUUAAUAACAAUCCUUU
rnacentral:lncRNA from 1 species